AUUGAACGCUGGCGGCAUGCCUUACACAUGCAAGUCGAACGGCAGUACGGGAGCAAUCCUGGUGGCGAGUGGCGAACGGGUGAGUAAUAUAUCGGAACGUGCCCAGUCGUGGGGGAUAACGUAGCGAAAGCUACGCUAGUACCGCAUACUAUCUAUGGAUGGAAGCGGGGGAUCGCAAGACCUCGCGCGAUUGGAGCGGCCGAUAUCAGAUUAGGUAGUUGGUGAGGUAAAGGCUCACCAAGCCGACGAUCUGUAGCUGGUCUGAGAGGACGACCAGCCACACUGGGACUGAGACACGGCCCAGACUCCUACGGGAGGCAGCAGUGGGGAAUUUUGGGACAAUGGGCGCAAGCCUGAUCCAGCAAUGCCGCGUGCAGGAUGAAGGCCCUCGGGUUGUAAACUGCUUUUGUACGGAACGAAAGGUUUGUCUUAAUACGAUGAGCUCAUGACGGUACCGUAAGAAUAAGCACCGGCUAACUACGUG
rnacentral:rRNA from 1 species